GGAAUAUUGCGCAAUGGACGAAAGUCUGACGCAGCAACGCCGCGUGGGUGAUGAAGCAUCUUGGUGUGUAAAACCCUUUCAGUUGGGAAGAAACAUAUGACGAGUAACUGCGUCGUGCCUGACGGUACCAACAGCAGAAGUCCCGGCUAACUCCGUGCCAGCAGCCGCGGUAAUACGGGGGGGACAAGCGUUGUUCGGAUUUACUGGGCGUAAAGGGCGCGUAGGCGGACUGUCAAGUCGGAAGUGAAAACCGGAGGCUUAACCUCAGGCUUGCUCUCGAUACUGUCAGUCUUGAGUACGGAAGAGGAAAGCGGAAUUCCAGGUGUAGCGGUGAAAUGCGUAGAUAUCUGGAAGAACACCAGUAGCGAAGGCGGCUUUCUGGUCCGAAACUGACGCUAAAGCGCGAAGGCUAGGGGAGCAAAC
rnacentral:rRNA from 1 species